CUUGACGCGGAGAGGUCGGACUGCCUCGGCUCGGGGUGGGGGGACAGAAACACCAAAAAACACACGCGUAAAGACUCCACUCCCGUCUCCCCCCCCCACCUUCUUUUAUUUCCUGUCAGCUUUUUCUUUUUUUUUCUUCUUGCGAUUUAUUUCCUGCAGCCGCACCAGGAACCCGGGACCGAGCUCCUGCUCCGAGGAUGAGAGAAAACUAGAUUUGCGAUCGAGGCUGUUUCUGAGGUUGUUUCUCUGGAUUUAUUCGGCGGCGGAGGAGGCGCAGAGAACCGGGAGCGGAGCUGCGCGCAAAAACAAGCCGAGGUCUUCCUCCUCUCCUCCCCUCUCCUCUCCCUCUAUCUCUCACUCUAUCUGCCUGUCUACCCAUCCUCUUCUAUCCAUCUCUCUCCGUGUGUUUCCAUGUUUCUCUAGGUCCGGGAGAUUUUGCUAAAAUGCAUCAUCAACAGCGGAUGGCAGCUUUGGGAACAGACAAGGAACUGAGUGACUUACUGGAUUUCAGCGCAAUGCGAAACAGCGAUUUGAAAAUGUUCCCAACAUCCAUGAUGUUUUCCCCUCCUGUUAGCAGUGGAAAGAACGGCCCGACCUCCCUGGGGAGCGGACAUUUCUCCAGCUCAAGUA